rnacentral:rRNA from 1 species
GACGAACCGUGCGAACGUUGUUCGGAAUCACUGGGCAUAAAGGGCGCGUAGGCGGCUUAUCAAGUCAGGGGUGAAAUCCGGCAGCUUAACUGUCGAAGUGCCCUUGAUACUGAUGAGCUCGAGGGAGAUAGGGGUGUGUGGAACUUCCUGUGGAGCGGUGAAAUGCGUUGAUAUCGGAAGGAACGCCGGUGGCGAAGGCGGCAUCCUGGACCGACAUUGACGCUGAUGAGCGAAAGCUAGGGGAGCAAACGGG